AUUUUCUUCUUUUUGCUGCAAACUUUUGUAUCCUUCUUUUCUUUUGGUCUACUUCUUUCUGUGUACUCUUCGUCUGAGUCAUCAUCUAAUAUGAUACAUCUACUUCUUGAUGAUGAAUUAUUUCUCUUACAUGCACUGAAAUGUAUGUUGCUUUCAUCCCUAUCUUCCAUAUCUUCUUUACAAUGCGCAGCAAAAUUUGAUGUAUCCAGUUCAUCAUGCAUCAAUUCCUGUCAGGAAGAAUCCAUAAAGAUAUAAAGAUAUUAAUCUAUAAUAUAAGAGAAUACUAUUACUUGAUUUAAGAAUAUAGGAAAUAUUCCUUACCUUCUUAUCUUUAUCAUUCAGGAAUUUUGUUUCAAGAUUUUCAUUAGGCACAAAUGUUCUUUUUACUAAAUAGCCUACCUUCCCUUCAGUCAAGUUUUGGCUGCUCAACUUGAAUCGAAAGAUAAGUAUUUUUCCAUAUAGUUGUUGUAUAAUCUUGGGCACGUCUUCACAGUUUCCAUUAAGGGAAUCCAAUAAGUUUGAGAUAGAUGUGUUGACUAUUCUUUGUGCUUCAUCAUCAAAUACAGUGCAUGUUGUAGUUGUUGUAGAGUCACUUAUUUGCAGUCGAAGAAAAUACCUAUUAUAGCACAUGUGUUACAACAAUGAAAAUAUAAUAUAACUAAAAAAUGUUAAUAAAGGCAGGUCCAACAUGUUUACCUAGGUGUUGUCUUGUUGGGAUAUUUGUCGCAGUUGUUACAAUAAUACUUCUCGUCUAUUUUAUCACACAUUUUGUUGCAAUACUUGCAUGACAUAUACCACCACCUAGCAUUUUCUUGUAUCUUAUCUAUCCUAGCUUUUGAUGUAAAUACAAAUUCCUACAAAUAAAAUAUAUAAAUGUUAGUACUGCAAAUAUAUAAGUUUAACCAAUUAAAGUUGAUAUACUUGGUCUGUUAGGUUGUCGUGUCUCAUUUCCGUGAUUUCCUGUAAUGUUCUUCUGUUGUAAAACAUUUGCUCCUCUAGUGUCCCUUGUGUACUUUUGUUUACCUCCAUUAUUUUUGGUAAAGUUUCAUCAUUUGAGUACCUGUACAGUACACGGUACUAAUACGUAAAAAUAAAUGGUUCAAAUAUGUAAUAAUUACAAUAUGCAGGAAAAGAUUAAUAUUUCCAUAUUUCGAAAAUACAUAGAGAAUAUAUUGCAUACCUGUCAAUGAGUUGCCAAGUUUCUGAUAGAUCUAAAUCUAUAUAUAAUCUUGUAGCGCUAGUACUCUUCAAAGAAAGACCUGGUUGACUCAUUUAUAUGUUAUCUAUAUUUAUGACAAAUCAUCGUAAUAUAUUGUACAAUAUUUGAACUUACUUUUGAACAUUGAGGCUUCAACCAUAGUUGAUGUAACAAUAACAACUGUAUGCUUUCCAAUUACAUCUUCAUUUAGAUAAUGUGCUAGUUUCCCCCAUAAUGUUAUCCUGAUCUUUUCACCCCUGAAAUUUUGUGUUGUAUAGAGGAUGAACUUUAAAUGUAAAAACUGAAUGCGAGAAAAUAUUUUUUGGAUGUCCAUAAAUUUAAUGAAUAUGUUGUCUUACUCUAACAGGAGAACUUCAAUCUCGUGGAUAUCUUUAGUACGCUGACUUGACGUAUUCCUCAUUAUUGUUCUUUCUUGUACCGGUUUAAUACUGGUAAGUAAUCCAAUUAUAUCUGCAAAGUUAAGGAUAAAUUAAUGUACAGUACAAACAGUUAUAAAGUAAAUUAGGUCAUAAACAAACACUUACCUGAGCAUUGUUUAUCUUUAUUUUCUCGUUCUAGUAAUUUGUCUUUUGUAGCAAACUCAAAGUAGUAUUCCUGGAAUUUAUCUGAUGCCUCGUUCACCUGCUUCACCUUUGUAUUAUACAUGAAAACAAUUUUAAUUGAAUUGCUCAAUGGAUGGUAUCUGCUGGAUUCCUGAACUUUGAAAUUACUGAAUGCAUAUAUAGCUUUCUCAUUGAUCUGUGGUCUAUAAGUAUCUAUUAGAUUCUUCCAGAUAGUAGCAUGAAUAGUUUCACCCUGUUCAAACAAAGGAAUUUAGCAAACAAUAACAACAUAUGUAUUUGUAUAGACGAAUAUUACUACAGAAAAUACCUGUUCAUCCAGCAAAAUCAUAUCCAAGCUCAUGAGUUCAUCAGUUGCAUUAUUAAUCGAAUCCCAAAUUCUUAUGACUUUCACUUUAAUGCUCAUUGAUUCUACUUUUGUCGUGAGCUCAUUCAGUUUUUUAUAUGCCAUAGUAUUGGUACCUCAAAGUACAAAGGCAAAUAGAAAUUCAGAUAUGGUCAAAGGAACAUACAUUUUAUAAUAACAAUAAUUUUCAACAACAAAUAAAUCAUAUACUGCCAUAAUGUUUGUAACUCAAAGUAGAAAGGCAGAUAGGAAUUGUGAUCAUAAGAUGCUUCAAUAGUCGGUAAAGAAAUUUCAUCUAGUAUUCAAACAUAUUCAUCUCCUAUUUUCAAGAUCUUUAGGGGCAUUGUUUAAUCUCCAUAAAAUAACUGUGAAGCCUAAUGAGGUACUUCAAACAUUCUUCUCUCAGGAUCCCAAAUUCUUAUGACUUUCACUUUAAUGCUCAUUGAUUCUACUUUUAUCGUGAGCUCAUUCAGUUUUUUAUAUGCCAUAGUAUUGGUACCUCAAAGUACAAAGGCAAAUAGGAAUUCAUAUAUGGUGACAGUGUAGUAGUCAAAAUAUGCUUAAAUAGUACAUAACGAACAUACAUUUUAUAAUAACAAUAAUUUUCAACAAUAAAUAAAUCAUAUACUGCCAUAAUGUUUGUAACUCAAGGUAGAAAGGCAGAUAGGAAUUGUGAUCAUAAGAUGCUUCAAUAGUCAGUAAAGAAAUUUCAUCUACUAUUUAAACAUAUUCAUCUCCUAUUUUCAGGAUCUUUAGGGGCAUUGUUUAAUCCCCAUAUAAUAACUGUAAAGCCUAAUGAGGUACUUCAAACUUGCUUCUCUCAGGUGUCUUGGCAUUAACAAAAUAGCAGAAUCGUAAUGCAGUACAAUAACAGGCAUGAAGGCAUAAGCAUGGAGCAUACCAGCGAGAAUUAUGUUCUUUGGUGAGUCCAGCCGAUUGAACUCCAAAAUCUGGGCGUGCGUCUGUCGAUCUGUUCUUUGGUGAAGCUACCUGAUUGACCUCCAAUAUCUGGGCGUGCGUGUGUGGUUCUGGUAUUUGGUGAUGCUAGCCGAUUGAACUAAAAAAUCUGGGCGUGCGUGUGUUGUUUGCUGUGUGGUUCUGGUAUUUGGUGAUUCCAGCCGAUUAAAUCUGUCGUUCUGGUCUUUGGUGAGGACAGCCGAUUGAACUCCAAUAUCUGGGCGUGCGUGUGUGGUUCUGGUAUUAGGUGAUGCCAUAUUUAUUGUCAUGAUAAGCUAUUGAUAAGGAAUCUAUUAGGAUACGGAGAUGUCUAUCUAUUUUCUAA